AGCUGCCACGUCCGAGACCUGGAGCAGCCACCGCCGCAAUCAUGGUGAGUGUUGGUACUGAGGAGGCCUAGCAGGGUGAAGGCCACGGUCGCGGCCUUCACGGGUUCCUCGGCCGUCCUGAGUCCCAAAUCCCAAGCUGGAGCCGUUCAGCUCCCCUCCACCGCUUAGAGAUUUGGGGGGCUCUGGCCCCGUCCUUGCGGACCAUUCCGAGGGGAGUCCAGAGGUGAGGCCGAGGAACCUCCCUGACUUUGCGGGGCGCGCCGCUCCUGCGUCUCCUGCCAGUCUCCCUUCCUUCUUUUCGGUCAACAAUUGAAAACAAAACGAGGAACAGCAGAGGAGCUACUGUAUACCGAGCCCUCAGCAUUGUUCGUAAUCUCCGCCUGCUAACAGCCUUGUGAAGAAGGUGCUAUUCUUCUCAACACUUUACAGAUGAGGACACUUGAGGUUCGGAGACGUGGAGCCUCUUGCACAGCUGCUUAAGUGACUUCGGGGACCUGGUUUUUAGAGAGUCUAGAAUCUGAUGAGAGAACCUGUGCUUACUUGGUGUGUACCUCUUGAACUGCUUUGCAGCCAUCCUCUUCCACUGUCUGCCUU
rnacentral:lncRNA from 1 species